rnacentral:rRNA from 1 species
CCUACGGGAGGCUGCAGUGGGGAAUAUUGGACAAUGGGGGGAACCCUGAUCCAGCCAUGCCGCGUGUGUGAAGAAGGCCCUCGGGUUGUAAAGCACUUUCAGUGAGGAAGAACGCCUGGUGGUUAAUACCCAUCAGGAAAGACAUCACUCACAGAAGAAGCACCGGCUAACUCCGUGGCCAGCAGCCGCGGUAAUACGGAGGGUGGCGAGCGUUAAUCGGAAUUACUGGGCGUAAAGCGCGCGUAGGUGGCUUGAUAAGCCGGUUGUGAAAGCCCCGGGCUCAACCUGGGAACGGCAUCCGGAACUGUCAAGCUAGAGUGCAGGAGAGGAAGGUAGAAUUCCCGGUGUAGCGGUGAAAUGCGUAGAGAUCGGGAGGAAUACCAGUGGCGAAGGCGGCCUUCUGGACUGACACUGACACUGAGGUGCGAAAGCGUGGGUAGCAAACAGGAUUAGUACCCCGGUAGUC